rnacentral:rRNA from 1 species
UAGUGAUACGCUCAUGUCAAAGAUUAAGCCAUGCACGUGUGAGUAUAAAUGUUUUACAUCAUGAGACUGCGGACGGCUCAAUAGGCUCAGUUAUAGUUUAUUUGAUAAUGGUAAUUUUUUUUAAUUGGAUAACCGUAGAAAAUUUAGAGGUAAUACAUGCAUAAAAGGAGGGACGAAAGAAGGUCCGUAUUUAUUAGAAAAAAAAAAAAGAAAACCAAGCUUAGCAAUAAGCAGCACAAAUCAAUACAAAAAACGUGAUUGAUAAUAACUUUGUGAAGGUGAGUAGCAAUACUUAUUUUCCAUAGCGAAUUGUAAAAAAUUAAAAAUUGGGUUGUAAAAAACCUACGAUGAUUGAAUUCAAAUUUUUGCUCUAUCAGUACUUUUUUGCAGUGUAGCGGACUGCGAAGGUUAUAACGGAUACGGGGAGUUAGGGCUUGGCUCCGGAGAGGGAGCCUUAGAAACGGCUACCACUUUUAAGGAAGGCAGCAGGCGCGCAAUUUACCCAAUUAGCAAAGCUAGAGGUAGUGACGACAAAUAUAAAUACGAGUGAACAUUAUUGUUUGUUUGUAAUUUAAAAGAGUACAAUGUAAAAAAAUUAACAAGGAUCAAUU